rnacentral:rRNA from 1 species
GAUGAACGCUGGCGGCGUGCUUAACACAUGCAAGUCGAACGGAAAGGCUCCUGCUUGCAGGGGUACUCGAGUGGCGAACGGGUGAGUAACACGUGGGUGAUCUGCCCUGCACUUCGGGAUAAGCCUGGGAAACUGGGUCUAAUACCGGAUAGGACGAUGGUUUGGAUGCCAUUGUGGAAAGUUUUUCGGUGUGGGAUGAGCUCGCGGCCUAUCAGCUUGUUGGUGGGGUAAUGGCCUACCAAGGCGUCGACGGGUAGCCGGCCUGAGAGGGUGUACGGCCACAUUGGGACUGAGAUACGGCCCAGACUCCUACGGGAGGAAGCAGUGGGGAAUAUUGCACAAUGGGCGCAAGCCUGAUGCAGCGACGCCGCGUGGGGGAUGACGGCCUUCGGGUUGUAAACUCCUUUCGCUAGGGACGAAGCGCAAGUGACGGUACCUGGAGAAGAAGCACCGGCUAACUACGUG